UCCUCGGUGGUAUACCGGUCAAUACACGCACGAUAUGUUCCCAAAGUUCGAAUGUGAGUAUUGAACGCGAGAACGAGGUUCGACUCCUCGCCGAGGAG